UACAGACGGUCCAAACGUUAUUCGGAAUCACUGGGCUUAAAGAGUUCGUAGGCGGUCAGGAAAGUGGGGUGUGAAAGCCCUCGGCUUAACCGAGGAAUUGCGCUCCAAACUCCCUGACUUGAGGAGGCUAGAGGUAAGCGGAACUGAUGGUGGAGCGGUGAAAUGCGUUGAUAUCAUCAGGAACACCGGAGGCGAAGGCGGCUUACUGGGGCCUUUCUGACGCUGAGGGACGAAAGCUAGGGGAGCGAACGGG
rnacentral:rRNA from 1 species